rnacentral:rRNA from 1 species
UACAGAGGUGGCAAGCGUUGUUCGGAAUUACUGGGCGUAAAGGGCUCGUAGGUGGCCAACUAAGUCGGACGUGAAAUCCCUCAGCUUAACUGGGGAACUGCGUCCGAUACUGGAUGGCUCGAGUUUGGGAGAGGGAUGCGGAAUUCCAGGUGUAGCGGUGAAAUGCGUAGAUAUCUGGAGGAACACCGGUGGCGAAGGCGGCAUCCUGGACCAACACUGACACUGAGGAGCGAAAGCCAGGGGAGCAAACGGG